CAUUAAUCAACCUACAUAGUUUCUGCUUCUUCAACAAUCAUUGCAUUAACUGUGACUGUUUAUCUCUGUUCAUGAUCAGGUGUCAAGCAGACAUGAGUUCAACAUUUGGUAUGCAUCAGGGGUUCGACUAGAAGCAGGAUCAGCGACUGUGGAGAUCAGUUUGAGGUUAACUCUUAGUUCACUUCUUACAGGGUUGAAUCAUAAUAAUAAUAAUGCAUCAGAUUUCAUAGAGCGCUUUAUCAGAG